rnacentral:rRNA from 1 species
GCGAUUUCCGAAUGGGGAAACCCAACUGCAUAAGCAGUUACUGUUAACUGAAUACAUAGGUUAACAGAGCAAACCGGGGGAACUGAAACAUCUAAGUACCCCGAGGAGAAGAAAUCAACCGAGAUUCCGGUAGUAGCGGCGAGCGAACCUGGAUUAGCCCUUAAGCACUCGGUGAAGUAGGUGAACAAGCUGGAAAGCUUGGCGAUACAGGGUGAUAGCCCCGUAACCGACGCUUCAUCGAGCGUGAAAUCGAGUAGGGCGGGACACGUGAUAUCCUGUCUGAAUAUGGGGGGACCAUCCUCCAAGGCUAAAUACUCCUGACUGACCGAUAGUGAACCAGUACCGUGAGGGAAAGGCGAAAAGAACCCCUGUGAGGGGAGUGAAAUAGAACCUGAAACCGUGUACGUACAAGCAGUAGGAGCACCUUCGUGGUGUGACUGCGUACCUUUUGUAUAAUGGGUCAGCGACUUAUAUUCAGUGGCAAGGUUAACCGUAUAGGGGAGCCGUAGCGAAAGCGAGUCUUAACUGGGCGCUCAGUCUCUGGAUAUAGACCCGAAACCGGGUGAUCUAGCCAUGGGCAGGUUGAAGGUUGAGUAACAUCAACUGGAGGACCGAACCGACUAAUGUUGAAAAAUUAGCGGAUGACUUGUGGCUAGGGGUGAAAGGCCAAUCAAACUCGGAGAUAGCUGGUUCUCCCCGAAAGCUAUUUAGGUAGCGCCUCGGACGAAUACUACUGGGGGUAGAGCACUGUUAAGGCUAGGGGGUCAUCCCGACUUACCAACCCUUUGCAAACUCCGAAUACCAGUAAGUACUAUCCGGGAGACACACGGCGGGUGCUAACGUCCGUCGUGGAGAGGGAAACAACCCAGACCGCCAGCUAAGGUCCCAAAGUAUUGCUAAGUGGGAAACGAUGUGGGAAGGCUCAGACAGCUAGGAUGUUGGCUUAGAAGCAGCCAUCAUUUAAAGAAAGCGUAAUAGCUCACUAGUCGAGUCGGCCUGCGCGGAAGAUGUAACGGGGCUAAGCAAUACACCGAAGCUGCGGCAAUGUCUUUUAGACAUUGGGUAGGGGAGCGUUCUGUAAGCCGUUGAAGGUGAAUCGUAAGGUUUGCUGGAGGUAUCAGAAGUGCGAAUGCUGACAUGAGUAACGACAAAGGGGGUGAAAAACCUCCUCGCCGGAAGACCAAGGGUUCCUGUCCAACGUUAAUCGGGGCAGGGUGAGUCGACCCCUAAGGUGAGGCCGAAAGGCGUAAUCGAUGGGAAACGGGUUAAUAUUCCCGUACUUCUGACUAUUGCGAUGGGGGGACGGAGAAGGCUAGGUGGGCCAGGCGACGGUUGUCCUGGUUCAAGUGCGUAGGCUUGAGAGUUAGGUAAAUCCGGCUCUCUCUAAGGCUGAGACACGACGUCGAGCUACUACGGUAGUGAAGUCAUUGAUGCCAUGCUUCCAGGAAAAGCCUCUAAGCUUCAGAUAGUCAGGAAUCGUACCCCAAACCGACACAGGUGGUCGGGUAGAGAAUACCAAGGCGCUUGAGAGAACUCGGGUGAAGGAACUAGGCAAAAUGGUACCGUAACUUCGGGAGAAGGUACGCUCUUGAUGGUGAAGUCCCUCGCGGAUGGAGCUGACGAGAGUCGCAGAUACCAGGUGGCUGCAACUGUUUAUUAAAAACACAGCACUGUGCAAAAUCGCAAGAUGACGUAUACGGUGUGACGCCUGCCCGGUGCCGGAAGGUUAAUUGAUGGGGUUAGCGCAAGCGAAGCUCUUGAUCGAAGCCCCGGUAAACGGCGGCCGUAACUAUAACGGUCCUAAGGUAGCGAAAUUCCUUGUCGGGUAAGUUCCGACCUGCACGAAUGGCGUAAUGAUGGCCACGCUGUCUCCACCCGAGACUCAGUGAAAUUGAAAUCGCUGUGAAGAUGCAGUGUACCCGCGGCUAGACGGAAAGACCCCGUGAACCUUUACUACAGCUUGGCACUGAACAUUGAACCUACAUGUGUAGGAUAGGUGGGAGGCUAUGAAGACGUGACGCCAGUUGCGUUGGAGCCGUCCUUGAAAUACCACCCUUGUAUGUUUGAUGUUCUAACUUAGACCCAUUAUCUGGGUUGAGGACAGUGCCUGGUGGGUAGUUUGACUGGGGCGGUCUCCUCCCAAAGAGUAACGGAGGAGCACGAAGGUGGGCUAAUCACGGUUGGACAUCGUGAGGUUAGUGCAAUGGCAUAAGCCCGCUUAACUGCGAGAAUGACGGUUCGAGCAGGUGCGAAAGCAGGUCAUAGUGAUCCGGUGGUUCUGUAUGGAAGGGCCAUCGCUCAACGGAUAAAAGGUACUCCGGGGAUAACAGGCUGAUACCGCCCAAGAGUUCAUAUCGACGGCGGUGUUUGGCACCUCGAUGUCGGCUCAUCACAUCCUGGGGCUGAAGUCGGUCCCAAGGGUAUGGCUGUUCGCCAUUUAAAGUGGUACGCGAGCUGGGUUUAGAACGUCGUGAGACAGUUCGGUCCCUAUCUGCCGUGGGCGUUGGAAGAUUGAAGGGGGCUGCUCCUAGUACGAGAGGACCGGAGUGGACGAACCUCUGGUGUUCGGGUUGUGUCGCCAGACGCAUUGCCCGGUAGCUAAGUUCGGAAUUGAUAAGCGCUGAAAGCAUCUAAGCGCGAAGCGAGCCCUGAGAUGAGUCUUCCCUGACAGUUUAACUGUCCUAAAGGGUUGUUCGAGACUAGAACGUUGAUAGGCAGGGUGUGUAAGCGUUGUGAGGCGUUGAGCUAACCUGUACUAAUUGCCCGUGAGGCUUAACCAU